rnacentral:rRNA from 1 species
UGGGGAAUAUUGCACAAUGGGCGCAAGCCUGAUGCAGCGACGCCGCGUGAGGGAUGACGGCCUUCGGGUUGUAAACCUCUUUCAAUAGGGACGAAGCGCAAGUGACGGUACCUAUAGAAGAAGGACCGGCCAACUACGUGCCAGCAGCCGCGGUAAUACGUAGGGUCCGAGCGUUGUCCGGAAUUACUGGGCGUAAAGAGCUCGUAGGUGGUUUGUCGCGUUGUUCGUGAAAACUCACAGCUUAACUGUGGGCGUGCGGGCGAUACGGGCAGACUAGAGUACUGCAGGGGAGACUGGAAUUCCUGGUGUAGCGGUGGAAUGCGCAGAUAUCAGGAGGAACACCGGUGGCGAAGGCGGGUCUCUGGGCAGUAACUGACGCUGAGGAGCGAAAGCGUGGGGAGCGAACAGGAUUAGAUACCCUGGUAGUCCACGCCGUAAACGGUGGGUACUAGGUGUGGGUUUCCUUCCUUGGGAUCCGUGCCGUAGCUAACGCAUUAAGUACCCCGCCUGGGGAGUACGGCCGCAAGGCUAAAACUCAAAUGAAUUGACGGGGUCAUAGCUGUUUUCCU